rnacentral:rRNA from 1 species
AUUGAACGCUGGCGGCAGGCUUAACACAUGCAAGUCGAGCGGAUGAAGGGAGCUUGCUCCUGGAUUCAGCGGCGGACGGGUGAGUCAUGCCUAGGAAUCUGCCUGGUAGUCGGGGAUAACGUCCGGAAACGGGCGCUAAUACCGCAUACGUCCUGUGGGAGAAAGUGGGGGUUCUUCGGACCUCACGCUAUCAGAUGAGCCUAGGGCGGAUUAGCUUGUUGGUGGGGUAAAGGCCUACCAAGGCGGCGAUCCGUAACUGGUCUGAGAGGAUGACCAGCCACACUGAGACUGAGACACGGCACAGAGUCCGAGGGAAGGCAGCGAUGGGGAAGAGUGGAAGAUGGGCGGAAGACUGAUCAAGGCGUGCCGCGUGUUUGCAGAAGGUCUUCGGGUGGGAUAACACUUUUAGUGGGGUGGAAGGCUUGUAAGAUAAUACCUGGCUGUUUUGACGGUACCUGCAGAAGAAGCACCGGCUAACUUCGUG